rnacentral:rRNA from 1 species
CCGGCGCACGGGUGCGUAACGCGUAUGCAACCUACCUUUAACAGGGGGAUAACACUGAGAAAUUGGUACUAAUACCCCAUAAUAUCAUAGAAGGCAUCUUUUAUGGUUGAAAAUUCCGAUGGUUAGAGAUGGGCAUGCGUUGUAUUAGCUAGUUGGUGGGGUAACGGCUCACCAAGGCGAUGAUGCGUAGCCGGCCUGAGAGGGUAAACGGCCACAUUGGGACUGAGACACGGCCCAA